rnacentral:rRNA from 1 species
UACAGAGGGGGCAAGCGUUGUUCGGAAUUACUGGGCGUAAAGCGUGCGCAGGCGGUUUUGUAAGACAGAUGUGAAAUCCCCGGGCUUAACCUGGGAACUGCGUUUGUGACUGCAAGACUCGAGUACGGCAGAGGGGGGUGGAAUUCCACGUGUAGCAGUGAAAUGCGUAGAGAUGUGGAGGAACACCGAUGGCGAAGGCAGCCCCCUGGGUCGAUACUGACGCUCAUGCACGAAAGCGUGGGGAGCAAACAGG